UUUCAUGCCAAGUUUGUAUUCUUAAAGCCCAUUUUCUUAUUUGAUUAGAUAACUAAGCUGAUUGUGGAGCAUUGGUAAACAAAAGAAAUGGCUGCCUAAGCUGCAAUCAAAAUGAAGGAGAGUUUUGCAUUAGGUUAUUGCAAUCUGUGCCUAGAACAUUUAAGUAAAUUCUUCUGUCUAGAUGUAUUGGUUCUGAAAAGAUGAACUAAUUGUAGUUCUGAAUUAUGGAUAACCCUGGCAUACUAUUGUCAGAUGUACUUUUAGUAAAUUGUAGUGGUCAGUACAAAAUAAAACAAGGGAAGGGCUCUGUUAUUUUCUCCAUGGUAUUCCCAAUAAGGUCUCAAAUCUUAAGUUUACCUAUAUAUUUCCUACUAUUGCCAAGUGUCUGACUCAAAUCUGGAAGAGGAAUCACCUAUCAAGGCCAAAAAUUUCUUUGCAGGGUGAAAAGGA
rnacentral:misc_RNA from 1 species